rnacentral:lncRNA from 1 species
ACUGACUGUUUAACUGCUUCAGCGGGAUUCUAAAGGUUGUGGGCAGCAUGCGGAGUCUUCUCAAACUGGACAGUCGUAAUAUCCCAUGCUGACUUUUCUGUCAACAAUCAUUUUUCAUAAUAUUUCUGCUGAAGAAGUCUGCUGUAGUUCUCAACAACAAGUGUAUCCCAAUGAGGCUACACGUGACCCUUUGAGGACACGUUUUCCACGUGUUAUUCUUCAAGCGGACAGCUGUAGACAAUGAGACGAAGGAACAUGACAAGAAACAGGUAAUUUUUAGAUCAGGAAAUACUGUCAGAUGUCAGUUGAAUUAACCUUUGUUUUUAGAUUAUAUAAUGAAUGAAUAAUGAGGAACUAGAAAGUCAUUCUAUUGUAGUGAUGUGGUUACUAUUUUGGCUUAAUAUGUCUACUUGCUUGAAUUGGCAUCUUUUUUCACUCUUUCGUUGAUACAAAAAGGUAUAGCUAAUUCACAAUGAAUAAUAAAGAGGUGGAUGAAAUAAAAACUGAAAAGAUAUUGGUUCCGCAUCCCUUAUUUGCCAUAUCACGUGAUUCAUUAAAUAAUUAAUGAAGAGGCUGCAGACAGAGCAGAAAGGCAACGCAGCCAAUUCGUCAAGACUGGCUUUUCGCCGACGUAACUUGUUUGAGUUUGGGCGAAAUUUAUUGGUGCAUUUCCUUCGCAAGAGGCUAUCCUCACUACUGUGAACAGUCAAGAGGGACAAUCUAGGAGCAACCGCACAACAUAAUCACCACACAUUGUGAGUAAGCCUAUAUUUUAGAUCUAAAUCUUGUAGAUACAUACUGUAGUUGCUGGGAGCGGUCUUGUCUCCUGACUCGAAGAAAACAUGUAAAGUCCAAUACUGAGAUGCAUAUUUUUUAUACUGCACUGAUAAAAAUUCAUCAGUUUAUUUCAAUAUUUUUGUAUGAAAACACUUUAUUAUUCAGCCUGUCGUGAUAACUAAACUAGAUUACAAAUGUAAGGAACUAGUGUCCCUCUAACAUUUGUUCACUGCAAAAAAAAUGUUACAGAAUAAAUUGUCUAUGUGACAUUGUCCUUAAGUAACCUACUUAAACGUUUAUUCUUAUAAUCUAUGUUAGGAAUGUAAUUUUUUUAUUAUUUUAAUUUAUUUAUUUUAUUGUUGGUUAUAUGUAUGCUGUUCAAUAUUUUAUAAGGCGUAGUAUUGUAACAGACUGCGCUCAUAAAGAAACUUUCGAUGAUUAAUGCAAUGAAGUGGCCGUUACAUUAUAUUGUAGUAGGCUGUACAUCAUGGGUUAAGGACUGGUAAUAUCAAUAAAUGUUUAAAUUAGGAUUGUUAAGGCCUAGAUUGGCUCGUCUGCUGGUGACUAUACCCAGUUUAGGCCGUCUAUGACGAACCCAGUGCUACAGUGACAUGAGCAAAGUAAUGGAAGACUAGAGAUCAACUUGAGAGAUCAAAGGCCCCUGGACCUUUGGGGAAUUGAUCGCAGGACCGUCCCAAGACAGCGGCACUCUCUCAUCUUCAACAUCACUAAUUACAAUAUCAUGCACGAAUAAUUCGAAACAGAUGUCCCCUUUA